AUCUUCCUAGUACAAAAGUUAGUACGAGUGACUUCCAAUCACCUGGCCCUAGUUAAAAUCUAGGGGAGGAUA
rnacentral:tRNA from 1 species